GGAUCUGUAGCACAAUGGAUAGCACUUCAGCCUUCUAGGCAAUUAUAAAGGUGGUGGGUUCGAGUCCCACCAGAGUUG